UUCUUCUUCCUCUUCCAAAUAACAAGAGUUUGGAGUUCCUCGAACUGUUGACCAGUUCUGCACACUGGUGCCCCAAGUCCUCCUUUGGUUACUGUUCAAAACAUCCAACCAGUAUCCCCUCCGGCUGCAAUUGCCAAGACCUCCAAGCAAAGUCCAUCUGCAGCCCCUUUUCAUAAGGCUUUUUUGGAGACCAGGAAGCAGUGUGACCAGAGCCUUCUACUUCAGGUUACACACACCGAGGACCCUUCCCGGGUGUCUGAGGAAAGGACCAGUGACCUGCCACAUCUGCACAGACUGAAGUCUGCCUAUGCCCACAAACUUGCAAUCCUUCCAUUUUUAGUCUUUGUUGGCCGGAUAAAAA